UUCAAUCUGUUCCCUAUCAAAUACAGAGAGAUAAGAUCUAUCAUUUUGGAUCUGCUCCGUCUAUUUCAAAGAGAUAAGAUCUUCUAUCUUCAACUUGUUCCCUAUAAGCACAGGGAUGCCAUGUUGAAAUAUUCAAUCUUCUUUCUCCCCUAGAGGACAUAAACUGUAGAAUGUGUAUGUACCUAUGCCUAAUGAUUAGGAUGCUAUGUUUGAAAUGAGUCAAAUGCUCCUAAUUAGACAUAUUAUGAUAUAAAAUGAAAAUGACUUUUAUUUCGGACAUCUUGAUUCAUUCAAGUUUCGUUUUGUUUCACUCAAAAUACCAACCCUAUUUUGCUCGUAUGCUUAGAACCCUCUCCAUCGAUUUGGUCCAUUGUACCAUUCCCACAUGUUACAACCCACUGGAGAUAUUUAUGAAAUGAUCCUUUCUUAGGAUCAACAUCGUCUAAUCACUGUAAAUAGGCCAAUUUUCCCGGCCCCCUUUGAAACCCAAAUAUAAAUAUUAAUAGUCCAAAGUCCAAAUAAUUACAAUAGUCUACGGGCCAAUAACCAAUCAAAGCCCAAUUACAAGACCAGAACUUAAACCUUAUAACAGUUUAUUAACAGGCUUUGACCCAAAUUAAAACAAUAAUACGUAGACCCAAUAACUAAUGCCCCACAACCAAUACCCAAUCCCCAAAUUAACCCGAGACCCAAAAUCACAUUGGCCCAAAUGGCCCAGAAAUUUUAGAACCCUAGGGUUCUUUCCCAUGCGCCGCAACCAGCCAAGCCUCAGCGCCUCCGUACGCUCCAGUCUCCAGCAACCACACCUACACAGCCCCGUACGCCUCGCGCCAAGGGCCAACGCCCGCCCGUACUCUACCUGCAAGAAGGACAAUCCACACAGCAGCAAACACGAACAAAAUAGCAGAAAAACAAAUGAAAAUGGCAUUUUUAAUUUAUUUUCCUUUUUUAUUUUUUUUCCUUCGGCUAUAAAGCCAUAGUUCUUAGUUUAUGUAAAGGUUAUGAACGCCUACAUAUUUUUACGCAAGAUAUACGAGCAAUACAAAAAGCAACCAAUAUCAGAAGGUGAUUUUCCGAUCUAAAUCUCCGGGCUUUCUUUCUUUGCGAUUAUUCUCUUGUUUUUUUUAUUUUACUUUGAAAGCAAAUAAAGUAAAGAGGAAAGGAUCUACCUGCGCAUAUGAGCCAUUGGAGACCAUCUCUUCUUCGUUGAGAUCGAAGCAUAAGAGAGGUUUUCGGGCUAAAAAUCUAACCUUUUGGGGCGGGAUUUAAAGUAGGAAAAUGAAACGACUUCAGGGCGAGCUAUCUUCCAUCGGUUUCAAUGGUGGAAUGUGGUAGUCAAAUGGUCGAACAGAGGGUUAGGGAAGCAUCGAAAUCAGCUGUGUUGAAACCCUAAUAAUUGGGUUCUCUGCUUAUGGCUAAAAGGGACAGCAAGCUGCCAUUCAAUGGCCUUUAAUUUUAGGAAUGAGACGAAAUAGCGCCGUUUGGGAUAUUAAAGGUCAGCGCGUCAACUCGGAUAGCAACCCGGAUCCGCGCCUUUUCAUUUGGAAUGGGAAAUUUGCGCGCUGGGUCCUCUAUAUUCGCGCGAGCCUUCGAUUGCGCCUUAUGCGACUUGCUUUUUUUAUUAUUUAGGCUUAUAAUUUGUGCUUUGUUGCAAUCUGACCCGCGCCUAAACGCAUCAUUUUGGGUUCUGGUAUAUUGCCAGUUUUAGUCCCUUGCAUUCGCGGGCGCGUCAAAAAUUAGUCCUUUUCCUAAUUUCAGCAACUGACUUUAUUUAUUAAUGAUCCUUUUAGUUUCAUUUUUGUUUCAAAUGAGUUUUUCUUUGUUAUUUUCAGCAUUUUUAUUCUUUGAAACCCUUCUAUUUUUGAGACUUACUUAUUAUUCACCAUUUAAUAUAUUAUUUUGGAAUAUUUUAUCAAGUUUUGCAUGGUUUGUUAUUCGUACUGUUAUUUAUAUGUAAAUACAUCUGUCCAUGUAACUAUAUAUAUACAUAUAUACAUCUAUCUAUUUUCUUUUAAAUUUUUUUGUUUAAACUCCUAUAUAUAUACAUUUUAUAAUAAGGUUACUUUUAUUUUACGCAUGUUAUUAAUCUUACAUUAUUCUAUACAUAUAGUUUCUUUUAAAUAUAUUCUCGUCUUUUAUUAUAUAAUCUCUUAUAACAUGGUUUUUAAAUUAUUAUGGUGUAUAUAUAUAUGUGUUUUUUUAUUAACACCUAUGCUUAAUCUAUUUAUAUAUAUAUGUUACUAAAUCUAUGUAUUUAUACUCGUAGUUUUCUUUAUAUAUAUAUAUGAGCACGUUUGUAAAACUAUUAUGUAGUUUAUAAUAAAAUUAAUUUAGCCCUAUACAUAAUAUUUAAAUGUUUUUGCAUGUAUUUGCCUUUAGAUUUAUAUGUAUGUAUAUGUAUAUAUCUUAUUAUUAAUCUCAUUUUUUACAAUAAACUUACGUAUACACAUGUUUUAUAAAUUUAUUUUGUGCAUUAUGUCUUGUCAUAUAUCUCCACUAUUCUUUUGUAUUGUAUAUAUUUUAAAUUAUCGCAUACUUUUGUCAACUUUUUAAAUAAAUUUGUGCUGAAAUCAUUUUACAUCUAAUUUAAUUCAAAUUUUGAUUUUCUAAUAUCUAUUUCAAUAAUUAUAUAUAUAUUCUUAUUUUUAUGCAAAUCUGUCAAUUCAUACAUUAUGUGUUUUAAAAUAUUCAUUCUACGAUAUAUAUAUUUUAAUGAUUGCAUGUGUCUAUUAAGCUUGACAUUAUUUUACAAUAAUCUUAUACCAUGUUGCUUCUUUGAAUUGCAUUCUAUUUUAUGCCUCUAAUAAUUUUAUUAUGUCAUGUAUGCCGUCGUUGCAUUUUAUUCAUUAUUGCCAUGAUUAAUUGUUCUCCAUGCAUCAUUGAGGUUGAGUCAUAUUUUCAAGCUAAUUAUAUUUAAUUGCUCAUUUUCUUGAUUGAUCGAUAUUCUCAUUCAUCAAGUAUGGUAUCUCAUACGCGCCUAUUAUCCCAUCUCAUCGUUUUCAUUUGGUUUUUUGAAAUGUGGUUUUAUAAAAUCUGAUUUCUUUGAUUAAUUUCAUCUCAUUUCAAAUCGAAUUAAUACGUUUUAAAGCUAGUUUUAGAAGUAUUCUUUUAAAAGUUCUUCAAAACGAAAAAUGAGAUUCGAUGUUUGGUAAUUCGCGGAAUCGUGCCCUAACGUGUUGGGUUACAAUUUCGCGUUUGCUCAAAAUAAUCGAAUAUCGCUUUGAAAUUUCAUUCAUGUUUGUUAAAAUUCUCCCAAACGAAGACGACAUUCGAUAUUUAGUAAUUCACGGAAUCGAGCCCUAACGUGUUGGGUUACAAUUUCGCGUUUGCUCAAAAUAAUCGAGUAUCCCUUCAUGAUUUCAUUCAUAUCCUCUAAAAAUUUUUAAAACAAAGGCAAUAUUCGGCGUUUGACAAUUCGAGAAUCAUGCCCUAUCGUGCUGGGUUGUGGUUUCUGGUUUGAUCAAAAUGAUCGAACAUUCCUUUGCAUUCUCACUUAUGUUUAUAAAAAAAAUGCUUAAAAGCGAAGACGAUGUUUAAUGUUUGGCGAUUUGAGAAUCGUGCCCUAUCGUGCUGGGUUGCACUUUUUCAUUGGUCCGAAGCAAUUGAAGAUCCCUUCGGAGUUUCCCUCACAUUUUCUAAAAUCUUUCAAAAUGAAAGCGAUGUUCAAUGUUUGGCGAUUUGAGAAUCAAGUCCUAUCGUGCUAGGCUGCGCUUUUUCAUUUGCCCAAAAUAAUCGAACAUCUCCUCGGAAUUUUCACACGUAUUUUAUAAAGUAAGGCAAUGGUCAAUAUUUAGAAAUUCGAGGAAUCGUACCCUUCUGUGAUGGGUUUCGAUUUUUCGUUGGACCAAAUAGUUAAGCAUCCUCUGUAAUUCUCUAAUUAUAUACUUUCGGACAUCGAAACGAGAAAUUUUGGCAACCAACUCGGCUUAUUUAAACGUUAUUAACAAGAACCACAUUUCAAAAACAUUUUAAUUUUGGACAUAAGGACAGUAUUUAAUCGAUUUGGUACCAAUUUUGGGCGUAAUGAGGGCGCUAAUCCUUCCUCAUAUGUAACGACUCCCGAGCCCAUUUUCUCAUAUUUUCGUAGACCAGAAUCGUUGUUUUAGUAAACCAAAAUAGUUUUAUUAAAAUAAUCAAAUUCUUAGGUGAUCUGAUCACACCAAAACAAAAGGAUCGAUGGUGACUCCAUGUUUUCAUUUUCCAAAAAGUCAAUUUCACCAUUUUUCAUUAAAAUUUUUUAAAUCAAGGGAUGGUUUCGACAGCUUGGCCACUCCACUGGGGAAUUGAGAGUCGAGCCAUAAAAAUCGAUUAUUUACUGUCCUUUUGUUAAAAAAUUGAAAAUUUAUUUUAAAAAUCAUGUAUCUUUCGAUUAAAUUUGAUUAUAUGCUUGUUUUGGUGCGGGUUUUGUAGAUUAGGACUGCAUUUCAUUACAUGACCACUAUGGUCACACCUUCUAAGUGGGAGUAAGAAGCUACGCUUUCGUGAGGUUUUCACCUUCACAUGGGCUAGUGGAUCACUUCUGGGGUACAUCUGUACCUAUGAUUUCGUGAGAUCUUCAUCUCCGCAUCGUCAUAGGGAAAUGCAUCCCCCCAAACUGAACUCGAUCUAUAUGAGCCUAUAAUAGGUGAGGAUUGAGGAAUCUACUGGUUCGGGUACCCCUUUUCCUAGAACUAAACCACAUAUAGUGAACCUUAGGAGCUAUCCUUAGGUGGAGCCAUGUCGAGCCUUAGUACUUACCCGUAUAUGCGUUAUAAUCACCGUUUAUGUGCUUGCAUUCUAUCGCUAUUAUUUGAUACUAACCGAUGUUUUGUUUUGAUUGUCUUUUUUUCAUGACAUUGCACACUAAAGGAGGCGUUAAUCUACAUUCAAUUACUAAGUUAGAAAAUUUGACAUGGAGAAUGAAUUUUUUAGUAAAGUCGAGGAUAAUGCGGCCGUUCGUGCUUGGUCAGAGAGGCUACAAUCUGAGAGAGGGGAUAGCUUGGAAGAAGGGUAUGUGUCGGAGCUGCAGGAUUUCACUCGCGUCAAUGUAGUAUAGAAUGAGCUGCAAGAGUUGAGAGACAUUUGGGUUAGUUGGAAUGGAGGAAUCAAGCAGUUGUUUUACCAAAGCUAUGGUGACAUAUCCUACCUGCUAGAUAUUAGAGUGGAUAAGCAUUUGUUCCGAGCCUUGGUACAGUUUUGGAAUUCCGCAUACAAGUGUUUCACCUUUGGAGAAGUGGAUUUGGUACCUACCAUGGAGGAAUACACUAUGCUGCUUAGGUGUCCAAAGAUUCAAGUCCGGGAGACUUAUGCCCGGGUUUUUAGUAAUCAGGCUUUCGUAAAGAAACUGAUGAGCAUUUCUGGGAUGAACGAGCCUUGGGUCACCGCUCGGAUUCAGCAAAAAGGAGAUAACAAAUGUAUCCCUUGGAAGAAUUUGCGAGGUUUGAUCUUGACUCAUCCAGACGAAAGAAAGAGGGUCGAUAUAUUUGCCUUAAGCAUCUACAGAUUAGUGAUCUUUCCUAAGGCUUUAAGGCACGUGGACGAGGUGGUCAUUGACUUGUUUGAUCAUCUUGAAAAGGGAAUCACACCAGUACUGACAAUAUUGGCAGAAACGUUCAGAUCUUUGAGCUCAUGUCAGAAGACAGGCGAGGGGCGAUUUAUUGGAUGUGCUCAACUAUUGAUGGUAUGGUUUCAUGGGAACUUUUGGAAGGUGGAUAAGGUUUCCUAUCGAGUCUUUUUCGAAGGUUAUUCCCUUUUGAAAGAAGAGGCAGCCAUACAGAGGAGAGAGGAUAUCUCGGAGGAGAAGUGGAUGGAUAUUUUUUAGAACCUCAAGGAGGAGGAUAUCGAGUGGAGAGCUUAUUGGAUGGUUCCUAAUGAGAUCAUGUACCGAUGUGGUAACUUUGAUUGGGUGCCGUUGUUAGGAAUCUGGGAAGCUACUGGGUAUACUCCAUUGAUAGCCUUGAGGCAAUACAAGUCGAGGCAGUUUGUACCCACGACCUACGGACUUGCUCAGAGUGAAUUCUCGUUUAAAGGUGCUCACUAUAAGAAGAGAGUUCGGGAAUUAUGAGAUGCUUGGAAGUAAACUUGUUGGAUGAAGAGGUUAGCCGUCGGUUCUAUGGUAAACUCGAGUACAGCGAGUGGUUUAAGAGGAGGAUUAAUGACAAUAUUCCUAGGCCAAGCUUGGAGAGUGCUCGACCUGUCGGGGAACAAUUACAAGCCGCCCCGUCAGAAUUAGAAAUUAUAAAGUAAGAUUUCGAGAAAAGGAGUGUGGAGCUCGGGAAGAAGAUCGAGCAAUUGGAAGAAGAGAAUAUGCAUCUAAGAUUAGAAGCUGAUGUCUAGAGGUCAGAGGUUGAGAAGUGGAGGAAAGGAAAAACUAAGGCUGAAGAAGAUCUAGACAGCUUGAAAAUGUACUACAAGAAGUUAUGCCUAUCUAUGAGGACUGCGGGUUUAGGUAAGACUUCUGAACAAUGGCGCCAUGAAAUUUGGGAAGAAAAGGCCAAUACCGACCGGUGGGAAAGGAAAUUCUGAGAAGUUCAAGCACGAAACGAAGAUUUGGAGAAAAGUCUGUCAGAAAGCAGAAAUGAGCGAGGGGAAUUAAGGGCUAGAGUGGCAGAACUUGAGAAGUCCCUACAUCAGUACCGAAACCGCAACACUGUGACAGAAUUGAGGGCAAGCUUGACCAAAAUACAAGAAAUGAAAGGAAGAAUAGAAGAGUUAGAGGCGUCUCUGCAAAAUUGCGAGAUGCGGAUCCAGUUUUUUGAGGCAAAUGAGGAUCGUUGGAAGGAGCAGCUUCACCAUGCGCAAGACCAAGUCAGAAACAGAGAUUACCUUAUGGGGGAGGCCAUAACCCAGAUUCGGGAAGUAGCGGACUACUUGCAAACUUUAGCUAUUCAGGUGGACACAUUGAGUGUGAAGUACGAGUUGGAGUCGGAUCACGGACAAGAGCUGGCUUCGCUACUUAGAAAAAUUAGGACUUUGAGUGUUAGAGCGAAAUUUUAUUUGUAACUCGACUUUAUGUAAAAGAUUUUAUUUUCAAGUAAAAUUUUCUAAGGGCAAUUGAAUCAAAAGUUGAUGCCUCCUUUGCAUUCAUGCAUUUGCAUUUGCAUCAUAUCAUUAUGCAUUAAAGGCUAUAAGAGUUUUCUAAUUAAUUAACUAAAAAUUAUUUCAGUAAUCUGGAAACCAACGAAAACCAACCAACCACACAUCCCUAUGAUACAAGGAAAAAAUCAAUGGAUAAGAGACUCGAGAAAUUGGAGCAGAUGCAAAAAGACAUGCAAGAACAAAUGCAGUCUCAGAUGCAAGAGCAACUAGCCAAGAUUCAACGAGAGAUGAAAGAGCAAAUGAUGGAGUCCCAGAGGGAAAUGAUGAGUCAGUUAUCCCAAUUGCUAUUGGGAGGAAUAGAUAAGGGAAAGGGCCCCAUGGACAAAAUUAAAGAAACUAACGAAGAUCAUCAAUACCCUUCUAGCUUCGCUCCGACACACGUAUCGAUGAAGCCUGAGAUUAACCUACCGAAACCAUCUGUCACGAUCAUGCCCCAGCCAGUUCAAGCCAGAGCUUCAAUACUGAUGAACCUCCAAACCGGCUCAGGCUCUAACUUUGUCAACAACCCAAACUAUCCACCCGUUCCUGACUUGGAUGAAAUUGCUGAAGAAGAAAAGGCGAGGAUGGAUUCACAAAAACAAUUGGAAGAAUGGUGUAGAUGGCUUGAGGAGAAAUUCAAAGCCAUGGAGAGCGCGGACCAUCGUCAAGGGAUCGAUGCCAAGGACCUGAGUUUGGUCCCAGAUUUAGUCCUUCCCCCAAAUUCAAAAUGCCCGAAUUCAAAAAAUACAAUGGAACGAGCUGCCCUGAAGCCCAUAUCACUAUGUUCUGCAGGCGAAUGAUGGGAUAUGUUAACAAUGACCAGCUAUUAAUCCACUGCUUUCAAGAUAGUCUGGUCGGGGCGGCAUCUAAGUGGUAUAACCAAUUAAGCCGAGCUAAAAUUAAUUCAUGGAAGGACCUAGCUCAGGCCUUUAUGAAGCAAUACAGUCAUGUGACGGACAUGACCCCCGACAGAAUCACUCUUUAGAAUAUGGAGAAAAAGUCAAAUGAAAGCUUCAGGCAGUACGCACAAAGAUGGAGGGAGGUGGCCAUACAAGUUUAGCCACCACUUCUAAAAAAGGAAACAACGAUGCUCUUUAUAAAUACCUUGAAGGCCCCUUUUAUCACUCAUAUGUUGGGAAGCACCACCAAGAGCUUCUCUGACAUAGUGAUGACAGGGGAAAUGAUUGAAAAUACUGUGAGAAGCGGUAAGAUAGAAGCUGGAGAAAGUACUAGAAAGUUGAUCCCGAGGAAAAGAGACAAUGAAGUGAACAACACGAGCACAUCUAACAAAGGUCAGUCCAAGUCAUUCACCGUAAAUCAACCCAAGACGGUGACCACCAGUCAGCAAAGUUCUGUAAGACAAGAACCAACGCGAGGGAGAACACAGAAAGACCACAAUUCACCCCUAUACCCAUAACGUAUAGGGAGUUGUACCAAAACCUAUUCAACGCUCAUGUGGUCUCCCCUUUCUACCUGAAGCCACUGCAGCCCCCGUAUCCCAAAUGGUAUGACGCGAACACCCAAUGUGAGUACCACGCGGGAAUCACCAGGCACUCUAUCGAAAACUACGCUACGUUUAAAAAAUUAUUUGAAAAACUCAUUAAGAUGGGGAUAGUAAGAUUUGACGACCUAGCCACAUCCAAUGUAGCAGGAAAUGCGCUCCACAAUCAUACCAACCAAGGAGUGAAUGGGAUAUGUGAAGGCUUGAACAAGAAGACCAAGUAUGAGGUUGCGGAAGUCAGGACUCCGUUGAGGCGAGUAUGGAUGGAGAUGGUCAAGAGAAGAUUGAUCGCGUUGGAUUUGAGGGAAGAACCUGAAGAAGAGAGAAACUACUUUGAGUUUCACGACGAAGCGGGCAUGAAAUCCAAGAUUUCGUGGAGUUCAGGGCCCUAAUACAAAACAUGAUGAACAAUAAGGAAAUGGAAUUCUAUGAAGAGACCAAAGACCCCGUAGAGGGAAAUAUAUGUGCAUUAGAGGGAGGAUCGGCAGCGCAGAAUCAAACGAACAGCUACCUUGUGGUUAUCAUAUCGAGACCCAAAAAUAAUAAAGCUGAAGUACAAAUGCCACCGACGGUCAUAAUCCAAAGACCUGCAGUCUUUCCUUACAAGGACAACAAAAAGGUCCCAUAGAAUUAUGAUUGCAGUGUGACGAUGCUGGGAAAGGAGAGCCUGGUUGGCGCUUCAAGAGGGGAUCAAGACAGAGGUUCCUAUACACGUAGCGGGAGGCGUUACGAUAUGGUGAAUGAAGAGGAACAGCCCACAAAAGGAAAAGCCCAGGUGGUCGAGGAAAUGAAAGGAAAAGCAACCAAGCUUGUUAAUGAGCCACUUAACGAAGAGGAGGCUAAGGAGUUUUUAAAAUUCCUAAAGCAUAGCGAAUACAGUGUGGUGGAACAACUACGUAAACAACCAGCCUGCAUUUCAGUGCUAGCCUUGCUUCUAAGCUCGGAAGUUCAUCGUAGCGCACUAAUGAAGGUCUUAAACGAGACAUAUGUUGCCAAUGAUAUCUCCGUUAACAAGCUGGACUGGUUGGUGAGAAACAUAAGUGCCGACAAUUAUAUCUUCUUUAAUGAUGACGUGAUACCACCCGGGGGCAUGGGGUCAACUAAAGCUCUGCAUAUCACCAUACGCUGUAAAGGGUAUACGCUGCCAGGCAUACUGAUCGAUAAUGGAUCAGCCUUAAACAUCUUGCCAUUGACCACACUGAACAGAUUACCUAUAGACAACUCUCACAUGAAGGAGUGCCAGAACAUCGUGAAGGCAUUCGAUGGUACGGAGGAAAGGUGAUGGGCAGAAUCGAGGUACCUCUUCAGAUUGGCCUAAAUAUAUAUGAGGUGGAUUUUCUUGUGAUGGAUAUCAAGCCCUCAUACAAUUUCUUGUUGGGGAGGCCCUGGAUACAUUCAGCUAGGGCAGUGCCUUCCUCGUUGCAUCAAAAAUUGAAGCUAAUAUCGGAAGGGAGGUUGAUAACGAUCAAAGCUGAGGAGGAUAUUAUUGCAACUGUGAGCAAUAAUGAACCCUAUUUGGAGACGGAUGACGAAGCAAUCGAAUGUUAAUUUCAAUCUUUGGAAUUUGUUAAUGCAACAUUCAUCGCCGAGGGAAGCAAAAUUCUGGUACCGAAGUUGUCCAAAACCACGAGGAUGAGCCUCCAGUUGACAUUUGGAAAAGGGGCCCUACCCGGAAGGGGACUUGGGAAACAUCUACAAGGAAGGGUUGAAACGCCUAUGCUGAAAGACAAGAGAGACCGCUUCGGCCUAGGAUUUAAGCCGGAUGUCAAACAAUAGAGAAGGAAGCUGGAAAAGAAGCAAGAAAGAAGGAGAGCUCGAUUAGCGGGGGAGAAAAUCAAGUGGGAACCAAUGAUAUUCCCCCAUAUAUCGAAAACAUUUGCGUUUGGGGGAAUUAUUCACCCCGAGAGAGACACGCUAAUGACGGGAGCUAUAGAAAAAAGCCUGGAAAGUUUGGACAUCAACGUCAUGUACGAAGAGGAGACUGGAAGAGAAAAUUUGUCCGGCAUUUGCUUCUACACGCCUGGAAGUGUUCUGGACAACUGGACUGCGGAAGAGAUCCCUGUAGUUUUUAGGACAGAUUCAGAGUAAUGUCCAAAACACACUUAUUGCUCUAGGCCUAGGAGUAAUAAGAAUCUUUUGUGAAAUAGGCCGAGGUUUAAAAACGUUAUUUCAAUAAAAUGCACGGUUAUUAUCAUUUUUGAGCAAAUGUUCUCUCGUCCUCUCAAUUUCAUUCAUAACCAUACAAGUGAUUACUUUCGAAUUCUUUUAUCCUUGAAACAUUCUUCUAAAUAUUCUUUCAUUCGUCAUUCAUAAUCAUACCAUGCAAAUAAAUGUUUUGAAUUCUUUUGAUUCUUUGUAUCUGCCUUCAUCCUCAUAGCAGUUCCCCAGAUAUUAAUGAUACGAGUGACACUGCUAGACUCAGAAUUUCCUUUCGAGCAAGAUAUGAGUAUGGAUGAUUCUCAGGAUCUUGAAGAUGACGAAGGCUGUAACCUAUCUCUUGAUUUGUUGAGGAUGGUAGAACAAGACGAGAAACAAAUCCUACCUCAUAAAGAAUCAGUUGAAAUUGUGAGCUUAGGAGAAGAACAAGAGGUGAAGAUCGGAACAUGUAUCACUGCGGAAAUGAAGCGAGACCUCAUUGAACUACUUCAAGAAUUCAAUGAUAUCUUUGCCUGGUCAUACCAAGAUAUGCCUGGGUUGGACACUGAUAUCGUGGUGCAUCGACUUCCCAUAAAAAAGAGUGUAAGCCAGUUCAGCAAAAACUCCGAAGAAUGAGGCCCGAUGUCUUGCUAAAAAUAAAGGAAGAGGUUCGAAAGUAGUUUGACGCUGGAUUUCUGAAGGUGGUAAAAUACUCAGAUUGGGUAGCCAACAUCAUCCCUGUCUCUAAGAAAGAUGGAAAAGUGCAAAUGUGUGUGGACUACAGAGAUUUGAAUAAAGCCAGCCUAAAAGACAAUUUCCUACUGCCUCAUAUUGACACCCUGGUGGACAACACAGCGAGACAUUCACUGUUUUCAUUCAUGGACGGUUUUCCAGGAUAUAACCAGAUCAAGAUGCAUCCUGAAGAUAUGGAGAAAACCACAUUUGUAACCAUAUGGGGCACGUUCUGCUACAAGGUGAUACCAUUUGGACUGAAGAAUGCGGGGGAAACUUAUCAAAGACCCAUGGUAACCCUUUUUCACGACAUGAUGCAUAAAGAGAUCGAGGUUUAUGUCGAUGACAUGAUCGCAAAGUCUCGAACAGAGAAGGAUCACAUUCAAGUCUUGAAGAAAUUGUUCUCGAGGUUGAGGAAAUUCCAGCUAAAACUCAACCCCGCCAAAUGUACAUUCGAGCCAAGUUUGGAAAAUUGCUCGGAUUUAUGGUUAGCGAGAAAGAAAUCAAGAUCAAUCCAGACAAAGUUAAAGCCAUACAAGAGCUAUCCCUGCCGGGUACCCAGAAGGAGGUUCGAGGUUUUCUAGGAAGAUUAAAUUACAUUGCUCGGUUCAUCUCACAACUGACCGAGAAAUGUGACUCUGUCUUUCGCCUCCUCAAGAAACAUAAUCCAGGAGAGUGGGAUAAAAAAUGCCAAAGGGCUUUCGACAAGGUCAAACAGUACUUAUCUAAUGCCCCGGUGUUGAUGCCACCUAACCCCGAUAAGUCAUUGAUACUGUAUUUGGCAGUAUUCAAAAAUCCCAUGGGAUACGUAUUGGGUUAGCAUGAUGAGUCAGGAAGGAAAGAGAAGGCCAUUUACUAUCUUAGUAAAAAGUUCACAAAAUGUGAGACAAGGUACCCACCGAUAGAGAAGUUGUGUUGUGCCCUAAUUUGGACAACCCGAAGACUGAGGCAGUAUAUGUUAUAUCACACCACUUGACUUAUCUUAAAAUUGGACCCCUUAAAGUACAUGAUUGAGUCAACAGCCUUGAAUGGAAGGAUGACCCGAUGGCAGAUUCUACUUUCUGAAUUCGACAUAGUCUAUGUGAACCAGAAAGCGGUAAAAGGAAGUGCAAUAGUAAAUUUCCUGGCCAGUAAAGCUUUGGAAGACUACGAGCCUUUGAACUUCGACUUUCCGAAUGAAGACCUAAUGUGUGUUGCUGCCACUAAAGUGGGUGCUCUUAAAGAACUUCCAUGGAAAUUGAAUUUUGAUGGGGCGUCAAAUGCUGUGGGCAAUGGAAUCGGGGCCGUCUUAGUAUCCCUAAACAGAUAUCAUUAUCCAUUCACUAGUAAGUUGGAUUUUGAUUUUACGAAUAAUAUGGCGGAAUACGAGGCGUACAUCAUGGGAGUCUGCACAGCCAUAAAACGCAAGAUUAGAGUGCUAAAAGUGUAUGGGGAUUCCGCGCUAGUGAUUUAUCAACUCAAGGGAGAAUGGGAGACCAGAGACCCCAAGUUGAUCGACUAUCGAAAACUAGUCCUUAAAUUGGUUAAAGAGUUUGAUGACAUUACCUUCCAUUACCUUCCACGAGACGAAAAUCAGAUGGCUGAUGCUUUGGCUACCUUAGCCUCCAUGAUCAAGGUAAACAAACAAGAAGAUGUCAAACCCAUCCGGAUGAGCAUUUAUGAAAUUUUGGCCCACUGUUACAAUAUUGAAGAAGUUGAAGAAAGAGAUGAUCACCCUUGGUAUCACGAUAUAUUGCAAUACGUGAAGAAUCGUGCAUACCCGGGCUAGGCAAGAGAGAAUGACAAAAGAAUGCUAAGAAGACUGGCCAUCGACUAUGUCUUAGAUGGGGAUAUAUUAUACAAAAGAAGAAAGGAUCAAGUGCUAUUAAGAUGUGUAGAUGUUGUAGAGGCUAAUAAAAUCUUGAAAGAAGUCCAUGAAGGUGUCUGUGGGACACAUGCUAACGGUUUUACAAUGGCCAGCCAAAUUAUGAGAUUCGGGUACUAUUGGUCCACCAUGGAAGGAGACUGUGUCAAUUAUGCUAAGAGAUGUCAUAAGUGCCAAAUCUACGGAGACAAAAUUCAUGUGCCUCCUUCACCGCUGCAUGUCAUGGUUUCUCCAUGGCCAUUCUCUAUGUGGGGCAUGGAUGUGAUUGGACCAAUAUCGCCGAAAGCUUCUAAUGGGCAUCGGUUCAUCUUCAUGGUUAUCGACUACUUCACCAAGUGGGUAGAAGCCGCUUCGUAUGCUAGUGUGACCAAGUCGGCAGUGAGCAAGUUUCUGAAAAAGGAGAUUAUAUGUCGAUAUGGAAUGCCGGAGAGGAUUAUAUCUGACAAUGCAUUAAACUUGAACAAUAGUACGAUAGCGGAAGUCUGCAGUCAAUUCAAGAUCAGACAUCACAACUCGUCACCGUAUCGCCCAAAGAUGAAUGAGGCAGUGGAAGCGGCCAAUAAAAAUAUUAAGAAAAUUGUGGGGAAGAUGACCGAAACCUACAGAGACUGGCAUGAGAAGUUACCAUUUGCCCUAUUCGCUUAUUGAACGUCAGUCAGAACCUCAACUGGGACAACCCCUUUCUCUUUGGUCUACGGAAUGGAAGCAGUGUUGCCAAUCGAAAUCGAGAUCUUGUCUCUUCAAGUGUUGUCGGAGUUAAAGUUAGAAGAGGCUGAGUGGAUCCAGUCUUGAUAUGAUCAAUUGAACCUAAUUGAGGAAAAGAGGUUAAGAGCUAUUCGCCAUGGUCAGAUGUACCAAAAACAAAUGAUGCGGGCUUAUGACAAAAAGGUUCGCCCUAGAGAAUUCCACGAGGGAGACUUGGUAUUGAAAAAGAUCCUUCCCAUGCAGAGGGACUUUCGAGGGAAAUGGAUGCCUAAUUGGGAAGGGCCUUACGUAGUGAAGAAAGUUUUCUCUGGAAGAGUAUUGAUUCUAGCCGAGAUGGACAGUAGAAACUUACCCAAUCUUGUAAACUCGGAUUUGGUCAAGAAGUAUUUUACCUGAAGAAAGAGAGGCCAAAGUGAAAACCCGCAAAGGGCACUCUGAAAUCCAAAAAAAAUCAUGGAGAGGCCAAGGUGAAAACCUACAAAGGGCACUUUGGAACCAAAGGGGCUUUUGAGUUGAAAACUCGAAAACGGGCAGCUCAAAUUUUGAAUAUGGGGCAUAUGAUAAUAUUGUCCUUCCAAAAUCAACAAGACAGAAGAAUAGUACACCUUGGAGCAUCAACAAAAUACGCAGAAUCUCCUGAAUACACAUUUGGUUCGAAGGAGCCUUUGAGAAAUUAGAAUAGUGAAACUCGUGCUGCGAUAUCUGGGGCACCUUUUUCUCAUUUUUUGCACCUUAUCAGAUUCGUUAUCAUAUGUAUUCACAUCAAAUUUUGGUCCGUUAUGAUAAUCUCUUUCGAGCAUUUUUGUUGAAAUCGCGAUUUUUUGAACAUGUAAUAUUCACACAAAAGAUGUUAUGCAUAUUACUCUGGAAAGUCUCUAAAUGGUAUAGGGAUCCGAAACAGGGCCACUAGUCAGGACUAACCAGGUUCAAAACAUCAGAAAAAGAGUAGUCCAAACUAGGACUAUUUAUUCAAAUUUUCUGUCAGAGAUAAGGGCUAAGUAGGAAGACGCGAUAACACAUCAAUGAUAGAACCCAGAUGAAUUAUGAACAAUGACACCUUAAGCGUUUAAAAAAAAGAAUCACUCUCAUGACAUUUCUACAUCCAUAAUCAUUCAUUUAAUUAGGAGCACUUGAGUCAUUUCGAUCAAAGCUUUCUGAUUAUUUGACAUAAACGCCACAUCAAGUUAGGGGCAUUUGAUUCAUCUCGAUCAUAGCAUCCUAGUUACUUGACAUACACAGAUAUAGGAAACCCAUUCUACACAUCAUGUCUUUAGAAGACAGUGUAGCGAUAUUGGCAAAUCCUGCAGAUUUGGCAUCUCUGAAUUGUCAGAGAGCAGAUUCGAAGAUAGCAAAUUUGGCGUCUCUAUAUUGGCAGAGAGUAGAUCAAAGAUAGCAGAUUUGGCGUCUCUGUAUUGGCGGAGAGCAGAUCGAAGAUAGCAGAUUUGGCAUUUCUGUAUUGGCGGAGAACAGAUCGAAGACAGCAAAUUUGGCGUCUCUGUAUUGUCAGAGAGCAGAUUCGAAGAUAGCAGAUUUGGCAUCUCUGUGUCGGCGGAGAGCAGAUCGAAGAAAGCAGAUUUGGUAUCUCUGUAUUGUCUCAUGUCUUUAGAAGACAGUGUAGCGACAUUGGCAAAUCCUGCAAAUUUGGCAUCUCUAUAUUGUCAGAGAGCAGAUUCGAAGAUAGUAGAUUUGGAGUCUCUGUAUUGGCGGAGAGCAGAUCGAAGAUAGCAGAUUUGGCAUCUCUGUAUUAGCGGAGAGCAGAUCGAAGAUAGCAGAUUUGGCGUCUCUGUAUCGGCGAAGAGCAGAUCAAAGAUAGCAGAUUUGGCAUCUCUGUAUUGUCAGAAAGUAGUUUCGAAGAUAGCAGAUUUGGCGUCUCUGUAUUGACGGAGAGCAGAUCGAAGAUAGCAGAUUUGGCGUCUCUCUGUUGGCGAAGAGCAGAUCGAAGAAAGCAGAUUUGGCACCUCUGUAUUGUCAGAGGGCAGAUCGAAGUCAGUAGAUUUGGCAUCUCUGUAUUGGCAGAGAGCAGAUCGAAAAUAACAGAUUGGUGUUCCCGAGUUUUUAAGAAGCAAGUUGAGGAUAGCCAAUUUAACACUCCUGAAGACAUCAGAAUACCUUUGGGGAAGAGGAGGGUCAAAAUUUUGAGACUUAGCCAGACCGGGCAAAUUUGGUCCUUUUUAUAGUCUUUGCUCUAUUCUCGUUGCACGACAAUGAGCAAAGAGGGGCAGCUAUAAAUAGGCCAAUUUGCCCGGCCCCCUUUGAAACCCAAAUAUAAAUAUUAACAGUCCAAAGUCCAAAUAAUUAUAAUAGUCCACGGGCCAAUAACCAAUCAAAGCCAAAUUACAAGACCAGAACUUAAACCUUAUAACAGUCUAUUAACAGGCUUUGACCCAAAGUAAAACACUAAUACCUAGACCCAAUAACUAAUGCCCCACAACCAAUACCCAAUCCCCAAAUUAACCCGAGACCCAAAAUUACAUUGGCCCAAAUGGCCCAGAAAUUUUAGAACCCUAGGGUUCUUUCCCAUGCGCCGCAACCAGCCAAGCCUCAGCACCUCCGUACACUCCAGUCUCCAACAACCAUGCCUACACAGCCCCGUACGCCUCACGCCAAGGGCCAGUGCAUGCCCGUACUCUACUUGCAAGAAGGACAAUCCACACAGCAGCAAACACGAACAAAAUAGCAGAAUAGCAAAUGAAAAUGGCAUUUUUAAUUUAUUUUCCUUUUUUCUUUUUUUCCUUCGGCUAUAAAGCCAUAGUUCUUAGUCUAUGUAAAGGUUACGAACGCCUACACAUUUUUACGCAAGAUAUACGGGCAAUACAAAAAGCAACCAAUAUCGGAAGGUGAUUUUCCGAUCUAAAUCUCUGGGCUUUCUUUCUUUGCGAUUAUUCUCUUGUUUUUUUUUAUUUUACUUUGAAAGCAAAUAAAGUAAAGAGGAAAGGAUCUACCUGCGCAUAUGAGCCAUUGGAGACCAUCUCUUCUUCGUUGAGAUCGAAGCUUAAGAGAGGUUUUCGGGCUAAAAAUCUAACCUUUUGGGGCGGGAUUUAAAGUAGGAAAAUGAAACGACUUCAGGGCAAGCUAUCUUCCAUCGAUUUCAAUGGUGGAAUGUGGUAGUCAAAUGGUCGAACAGAGGGUUAGGGAAGCAUCGAAAUCAACUGUGUUGAAACCCUAAUAAUUGGGUUCUCUGCUUAUGGCUAAAAGGGACAGCAAGCUGCCAUUCAAUGGCC
rnacentral:lncRNA from 1 species